rnacentral:tRNA from 1 species
GUCAGGAUGGCUGAGUGGUCUAAGGUGCCAGACUCAAGGGCUCCUGUCUUUCCAUUGCUUGGGUAUGCUGGUCUCUGAAUAGAGGAGUAGGUUCAAAUCCCACUCCUGACA